ACUCGCAGAAGAAGCACCGGCUAACUUCGUGCCAGCAGCCGCGGUAAUACGAGGGGUGCAAGCGUUAAUCGGAAUUACUGGGCGUAAAGCGUGCGUAGGUGGUUUGUUAAGCAAGAUGUGAAAGCCCUGGGCUCAACCUGGGAACUGCAUUUUGAACUGGCAAGCUAGAGUUUUGUAGAGGGUAGUGGAAUUUCCAGUGUAGCGGUGAAAUGCGUAGAGAUUGGAAGGAACAUCAGUGGCGAAGGCGGCUACCUGGACAAAGACUGACACUGAGGCACGAAAGCGUGGGGAGCAAACAGGAUUAGAUACCCUGGUAGUCCACGCCGUAAACGAUGUCAACUAGCCGUCUGUAGACUUGAUCUGUGGGUGGCGUAGCUAACGCGCUAAGUUGACCGCCUGGGGAGUACGGCCGCAAGGUUAAAACUCAAAUGAAUUGACGGGGGCCCGCACAAGCGGUGGAGCAUGUGGUUUAAUUCGAUGCAACGCGAAGAACCUUACCAUCCCUUGACA
rnacentral:rRNA from 1 species